AUCAUUCCAGCACAAGCGAGCAGCACCAGCGGCGGUUGCUCGAACCAGAGGCAGACGGGUGGCUGGAGUGGCUGGCGGUGGCUCCGCGGCUCUCCGGUGUGACGACGACAACACAAGCCACACGGCAGCGCGGGCCUCGCAUCCUCAUGCUGGAGUGCCAGCGACGGCUCCGCGGCUUCGGCUCGACGGCGACACAAGCCGCAGACCUCGCAUCCUUGUGUUUGGUUGGAGUGGCCGGCGGCGGCGCGGCUGUCGGGCGCCGCCGCGACGACGACAGAAGGCACGCAAGCCGCAGAGGACGCGACGAUACAAUCCUUGCGUUUCAUUCUCCGAUCCUGUCCAAAUUUCUGUAAUUUUGGAUUGGAUGGACUCAAUGCAUGUUUAUAUUCUGAUAUAUGUCAAAUUUCAGUAAUUUUUGUUGUUC
rnacentral:sRNA from 1 species